GGGUGAGUAACGCGUGGGUAACCUGCCUUACACUGGGGGAUAACACUUAGAAAUAGGUGCUAAUACCGCAUAACAGGGAAAGAUGCAUGUCUUUUCCUUGAAAACUCCGGUGGUGUAAGAUGGACCCGCGUCUGAUUAGCUGGUUGGCGGGGUAACGGCCCACCAAGGCGACGAUCAGUAGCCGGCCUGAGAGGGUGAACGGCCACAUUGGGACUGAGACACGGCCCAAACUCCUACGGGAGGCAGCAGUGGGGAAUAUUGGACAAUGGGGGGAACCCUGAUCCAGCGACGCCGCGUGAGUGAAGAAGUAUUUCGGUAUGUAAAGCCCUAUCGGCAGGGAAGAAGAAAUGACGGUACCUGAAUAAGAAGCACCGGCUAAAUACGUGCCAGCAGCCGCGGUAAUACGUAUGGUGCAAGCGUUAUCCGGAUUUACUGGGCGUAAAGGGAGCGCAGGCGGCGCGCCAAGUCUGAUGUGAAACCCCGGGGCUCAACCCCGGGCAUGCAUUGGAAACUGGCGGGCUGGAGUGCCGGAGAGGUAAGCGGAAUUCCUAGUGUAGCGGUGAAAUGCGUAGAUAUUAGGAGGAACACCAGUGGCGAAGGCGGCUUACUGGACGG
rnacentral:rRNA from 1 species